GCGCAGCAGUUGCGAAAACUUGUCAAUGCACGAAAGUGUGAACGGGCUACCCCGAGUGCCACCCGCUGAGGGUGGCUUUUCCACAGUCUAAAAAGCUGUGGGAAUAAGGAGAGGGCAAGUCUGGUGUCAGCCGCCGCGGUAAUACCAGCUCUCCGAGUGGUAGGGAUGAUUAUUGGGCUUAAAGCGUCCGUAGCUGGCCUUUCAAGUCUCUUGUUAAAUCCAGCGAUUCAAUCGUUGGACUGCGGGAGAUACUGUUAGGCUAGGGGGCGGGAGAAGCCGACGGUAUUUCCGGGGUAGGGGUAAAAUCCUAUAAUCCCGGGAAGACCACCAGUGGCGUAGGCGGUCGGCUAGCACGCGCUCGACAGUGAGGGACGAAAGCUGGGGUAGCGAACCGGAUUAGAUACCCCGGUAGUCC
rnacentral:rRNA from 1 species